rnacentral:rRNA from 1 species
GACGAACGCUGGCGGCGUGCUUAACACAUGCAAGUCGAACGGAAAGGCCCGGCUUUUGUUGGGUGCUCGAUUGGCGAACGGGUGAGUAACACGUGAGUAACCUGCCCUUGACUUUGGGAUAUCUUCUGGAAACUGGGGCUAAUACCGGGUAGGAGCUCCUGCUGCAUGGUGGGGGUUGGAAAGUUUCGGCGGUUGUGGCUGGACUCGCGGCUUAUCAGCUUGUUGGUGGGGUAGUGGCUUACCAAGGCUUUGACGGGUAGCCGGCCUGAGAGGGUGACCGGGGACAUUGGGACUGAGAUAGGGACCAGUAUCGUACGGGAGGCAGAAGUGGGGAAUAUGGCACAAUGGGCGGAAGCCUGAGACAGAAACGCCGCGUGCGGGAUGCCGGCCUUCGAGUUGUAAACAGCUUUGGCAUGUGACGAAGAGUGAGUGACGGUAAUGGGUAAAGAAGCACCGGCUAACUACGUG